rnacentral:tRNA from 1 species
GCCGCUUUAGCUCAGUUAGGUAGAGCACCACCAUGGUAAGGUGGGGGUCACCGGUUCAAGCCCGGUAAGUGGCU